rnacentral:rRNA from 1 species
GUCCACGCCCUAAACGAUGGGCACUCAGUGUGGGAGGUAUCGACCCCUCCCGUGCCGCACCUAACGGAUUAAGUGCCCCGCCUGGGGAGUACGGCCGCAAGGUUGAAACUCAAAGGAAUUGACGGGGGCCCGCACAAGCGGUGGAGCAUGUGGUUCAAUUCGACGCAACGCGAAGAACCUUACCUGGGUUUGACAUGCUGGUAGUAGCGAACCGAAAGGGGAGCGAGCCCCGCAAGGGGACGCCAGCACAGGUGCUGCAUGGCUGUCGU